rnacentral:rRNA from 1 species
ACGAACGCUGGCGGCGUGCUUAACACAUGCAAGUCGAACGUGAAAGUCCUUCGGGAUGAGUAAAGUGGCGCACGGGUGAGUAAUACAUAGGAACGUACCUUCAGAUGGGGAAUAACUACCGGAAACGGUAGCUAAUACCGCAUGAAGUCGCGAGACCAAAGGAGGCCUCUGCUUGCAAGCUUUCGUCUGGAGAGCGGCCUAUGUCCCAUUAGCUAGUUGGAGAGGUAACGGCUCACCAAGGCGACGAUGGGUAGCUGGUCUGAGAGGAUGAUCAGCCACACUGGAACUGAGAUACGGUCCAGACUCCUACGGGAGGCAGCAGUGGGGAAUCUUGCACAAUGGGCGCAAGCCUGAUGCAGCAACGCCGCGUGAGUGAAGAAGGCCCUUGGGUUGUAAAGCUCUUUCGGCUAGGAAGAAGUGCUUUAGGGUUAAUACCCCUAGAGUGUGACGGUACUAGAAGAAGAAGCACCGGCUAAUUCCGU